UUAAGCUAGAAAGAGCGCAGGGUGGAUGCCUUGGCACUAAGAGCCGAUGAAAGACGUGAUAAGCUGCGAAAAGCUUCGGGGAGGAGCAAAUAUCCUUUGAUCCGGAGAUCUCUGAAUGGGGAAACCUACUUGAGUGCACCUCAAGUGACGUAUGGUGAAUCCAUAGCCAUACGCCGGGAACCCGGUGAACUGAAACAUCUAAGUAGCCGGAGGAAGAGAAAGAAACAUCGAUUCCGAAAGUAGCGGCGAGCGAAAUUGGAAGAGCCCAAACCGGAAUGCGUGCAUUCCGGGGUUAUGGACCACGAUAUGUGACCCGUAUGGUAAUGGAACUGUCUGGGAAGUCAGACCAGAGAGGGUGAAAGUCCCGUACAUGAAACCAGAAGGGAGCUAGUGGGAUCCAGAGUACUGCGAGACACGUGGAACCUUGCAGGAAGUCGGGGGGACCACCCCCCAAGGCUAAAUACUCCUUAGUGACCGAUAGCGCAUAGUACUGUGAAGGAAAGGUGAAAAGGACCCCGGGAGGGGAGUGAAAGAGAACCUGAAACCCUGUGUUUACAAGCUGUGGAAGCACGUUAAGGUGCGACCGCGUACUUUUUGUAGAACGGUCCGGCGAGUUGCGGAUGCUGGCAAGGUUAAGCACUUUAGGUGCGGAGCCGAAGCGAGAGCAAGUCUGAAUAGGGCGUCAAGUCAGCAUGUGCAGACCCGAAACCGGGUGAUCUAUCCAUGUCCAGGUUGAAGCGAAAGUAAAAUUUCGUGGAGGACCGAACGCACAUCCGUUGAAAAGGGUGGCGAUGAGGUGUGGAUAGGGGAGAAAUUCCAAUCGAACCCGGAGAUAGCUGGUUCUCCUCGAAAUAGCUUUAGGGCUAGCCUCGUAUUAGUCUGGUGGAGGUAGAGCACUGAAUUUCCUAGGGGGCGUCAAAGCCUACCGAAGAAUAUCAAACUCCGAAUGCCAUACAGAUGAUGUACGGGAGUCAGACGGCACGAGAUAAGUUGGGUCGUCAAAAGGGAAAGAGCCCAGACCUGCAGCUAAGGUCCCAAAGUGUGUGUUAAGUGGAAAAGGAUGUGGGAUUUCAAAGACAACUAGGAUGUUGGCUCAGAAGCAGCCACACAUUCAAAGAGUGCGUAAUAGCUCACUAGUCGAGAGGUCCUGCGCCGAAAAUGUCCGGGGCUGAAACACAACACCGAAGCUCAGGAAUGACUUAGGUCAUUGGUAGAGGAGCAUUCUUAAAGGGGCGAAGCAGUACCGAUAAGGAGCUGUGGACUUUUAAGAAGAGAGAAUGCCGGAAUGAGUAGCGAGAUGGAGGUGGGAAUCCUCCAGGCCGAAUAUCUAAGGUUUCCAGGGUAAAGCUGAUCUGCCCUGGGUAAGUCGGGGCCUAAGGCAAGGCUGAGAAGCGUAGCUGAUGGACAACAGGUUUAGAUUCCUGUACCACAUGGUAUCAGAACUGUGGGGACGCAGAGGGAUAAGAUGACCGGGGGACAGAUUCCCGGGCAAGCGCAGGAGGUGUCAGGCAGGCAAAUCCGCCUGAUAAGCCAAAGACGUGACGCGGACCGAACUCAAGUAGGGAAGCAUCCGAUUCCAGCUGCCGAGAAAAGCCGCUAUUGUGUACCAUGUGCCCGUACCGUAAACCGACACAGGUGGAUGAGGAGAGAAUCCUAAGGCCGGCGGGAGAAGCAUUGUUAAGGAACUCGGCAAAAUGACCCCGUAACUUCGGGAUAAGGGGUGCCAGAGAGAUCUGGCCGCAGAGAAUAGGCUCAAGCAACUGUUUAGCAAAAACACAGGUCUAUGCGAAACCGUAAGGUGAUGUAUAUGGGCUGACGCCUGCCCGGUGCUGGAAGGUUAAGAGGAGAGGUUAGAGCAAUCGAAGCUUUGAAUUGAAGCCCCAGUAAACGGCGGCCGUAACUAUAACGGUCCUAAGGUAGCGAAAUUCCUUGUCGGGUAAGUUCCGACCCGCACGAAAGGCGUAAUGAUUUGAGCGCUGUCUCGACAAUGCACCCGGUGAAAUUGAAAUACCAGUGAAGAUGCUGGUUACCUGCGCCAGGACGGAAAGACCCCAUGGAGCUUUACUCCAGCUUGAUACUGGGAUUCGGUAAUGCAUGCACAGGAUAGGUGGGAGGCUACGAGUACGGAACUCCGGUUUCGUAUGAGCCGCUGUUGGGAUACCACCCUUGCGUUACUGGGUUUCUAACCAUGGUCCAUGAUCUGGAUCGGGGACAAUGUCAAGUGGGGAGUUUGACUGGGGCGGUCGCCUCCGAAA
rnacentral:rRNA from 1 species